rnacentral:rRNA from 1 species
AGCUCCAAUAGCGUAUAUUAAAGUUGUUGCGGUUAAAAAGCUCGUAGUUGGAUCUCGGCGGAUAGGGGGCGGUUCAUUGUAUGAUGCUACUGUCCCAUUUAUCCGUGUUUUUGACGGAGGUUUCAGGGUGCUCUUAAUCGGGUGCUCUGGGAUGCCGUCAGGUUUACUUUGAAAAAAUUAGAGUGCUCAAAGCAGGCUUUACACGCUUGAAUAUUCGUGCAUGGAAUAAUGAAAUAGGACGUCGCUUCUAUUUUGUUGGUUUUCGGAAAUCGACGUAAUGAUUAAUAGGGACAGUCGGGGGCAUUAGUAUUCAGACGACAGAGGUGAAAUUCUUGGACCGUCUGAAGGCUCACUACUGCGAAAGCAUUUGCCAAGAAUGUUUUCA